rnacentral:rRNA from 1 species
GCCCUGGCAGUCAGAGGCGAUGAAGGGCGUGCUAAUCUGCGAUAAGCGCCGGUAAGGUGAUAUGAACCGUUAUAACCGGCGAUACCCGAAUGGGGAAACCCAGUGUGACUCGUCACACUAUCAUUAACUGAAUCCAUAGGUUAAUGAGGCGAACCGGGGGAACUGAAACAUCUAAGUACCCCGAGGAAAAGAAAUCAACCGAGAUUCCCCCAGUAGCGGCGAGCGAACGGGGAGGAGCCCAGAGCCUGAAUCAGCAUGUGUGUUAGUGGAAGCGUCUGGAAAGGCGCGCGAUACAGGGUGACAGCCCCGUACACAAAAGCGCAUGUGCUGUGAGCUCGAUGAGUAGGGCGGGACACGUGGUAUCCUGUCUGAAUAUGGGGGGACCAUCCUCCAAGGCUAAAUACUCCUGACUGACCGAUAGUGAACCAGUACCGUGAGGGAAAGGCGAAAAGAACCCCGGCGAGGGGAGUGAAAAAGAACCUGAAACCGUGUACGUACAAGCAGUGGGAGCCCCACCACCAAAGCAUUUGCUGUACCGCGUUGACGGAGCGAAGCGACGUCAAACCGAUAAAACAGCAGUGUAAAGUGAGCCGCAGGGCGCUUUGCGCGACAGCGCAAAGGCAGGCGGUUUCGCGUAGCGAAAGCGAAUGCUUUGGGGUGGGGUGACUGCGUACCUUUUGUAUAAUGGGUCAGCGACUUAUAUUCUGUAGCAAGGUUAACCGAAUAGGGGAGCCGGAGGGAAACCGAGUCUUAAUUGGGCGUUAAGUUGCAGGGUAUAGACCCGAAACCCGGUGAUCUAGCCAUGGGCAGGUUGAAGGUUGGGUAACACUAACUGGAGGACCGAACCGACUAAUGUUGAAAAAUUAGCGGAUGACCUGUGGCUGGGGGUGAAAGGCCAAUCAAACCGGGAGAUAGCUGGUUCUCCCCGAAAGCUAUUUAGGUAGCGCCUCGUGAAUUCAUCUCCGGGGGUAGAGCACUGUUUCGGCUAGGGGGCCAUCCCGGCUUACCAACCCGAUGCAAACUGCGAAUACCGGAGAAUGUUAUCACGGGAGACACACGGCGGGUGCUAACGUCCGUCGUGAAGAGGGAAACAACCCAGACCGCCAGCUAAGGUCCCAAAGUCAUGGUUAAGUGGGAAACGAUGUGGGAAGGCCCAGACAGCCAGGAUGUUGGCUUAGAAGCAGCCAUCAUUUAAAGAAAGCGUAAUAGCUCACUGGUCGAGUCGGCCUGCGCGGAAGAUGUAACGGGGCUAAACCAUGCACCGAAGCUGCGGCAGCGACACUGUGUGUUGUUGGGUAGGGGAGCGUUCUGUAAGCCUGUGAAGGUGUGUCGUGAGGCAUGCUGGAGGUAUCAGAAGUGCGAAUGCUGACAUAAGUAACGAUAAAGCGGGUGAAAAGCCCGCUCGCCGGAAGACCAAGGGUUCCUGUCCAACGUUAAUCGGGGCAGGGUGAGUCGACCCCUAAGGCGAGGCCGAAAGGCGUAGUCGAUGGGAAACGGGUUAAUAUUCCCGUACUUGGUGUUACUGCGAAGGGGGGACGGAGAAGGCUAUGUUGGCCGGG